rnacentral:lncRNA from 1 species
CCAGCCAUAGUCCACUAUGGGGGCGUGGGGAUCCUGGUGUUUUGCUGGUGUUAACCUUCCCCACAGCGACCUAGUUUGCUUCAGCCAGUGCAUCAUGUGACCAUGGUGACCAUGCAACCCGAGUGCUCUUCUCACCGUGGCCAGGUAAUUUCAAGGUUUCCUUAGCCAAGCUAUACAUGUUUUGUGCUCUACAUAAGAUAGAGAAGCUCAUGUGAUGGUGAACAAAUCUCCUUAAGACAGUUUUGUUGGAUGUUAUAUGAAAAUUGGAGUAAAAGUGGUCUACAAUAGGGCUAUCAGAUUUCAGACUUAGUGAAAAUUCUGAGUCUGAAUUUGUAUGUUUUGGUGCAGCUUUGGAGCUCUUUGUUGCUCUAUCCAUAGAGUUAUAGCUUAUGGCCACUAUAACAAAGUUGUAGAUCUGUUAUUGGAGUACAAGUUUGAUUAAGCGAUCUGAUCCAAAAACUAUAUAGAACUAAGUGUAAAGCUUGCUUAAAAGUGGGCUAUCAACUUCUGGGUUUCAGACAGCUAAUUGGCUAUGUCUGAAUUUCAGUAAACUUUAGCCAUGUUUGGACCUUUGUAGUGGCUAACCUGUAGGGAAUUAAAUUAUGUCUCUUAUAGCAAAGCAAUAGAGCUAUAGUAGAAGACCAGGUUUGGUUGAAGGCUAUACCCUAGAAGCUAUUUGGAACUAGGAGAAAAAGUGAGCUAAAGUGGAGCUGGCAGAUUUCUGGAGUUUUAGAUAAAUUCAGUGUUGAUGGCUGUUUUUGGACCGUGUUUGUGGCCAAUUCAUGAAGCUUUGGAUUAUGGUUUUGGUAGAGGAAGUGAAGACCAUAUGGUGGUAAAAAAGUCCCAUUAAGUAAGUUUGGCCUUUUCCUUUUCUAGAGAACUUGUGAAUAGCGCUAAAAAUAGUAGAAAAUUCCAAACAUCAUGGGACAAAUUUUGUUGGAUGUCUAAAAUCAAGAGCUCUCUGGUAAAGUUGGUUUUAGGAUUUUUAGAGCAAUUAGAAAGUAUUAAGUGAAUUAAAGGUGCUUUUGAAAGGACUGUUUGGAUUUUAGAAAUAAAAGUACAAUGGCAAAAAUUGUGGAAAAUUUUGAGUAACCUUGCUUUGGUCUUUGGAGGGUGUGAUAAAGGUUUGAGGCUAUUUGGAAUCCAUUUGCUAUGAGAACUUUGUAAGCCCCAAAAUAGAGUGGUUAAUCCUUAAUCAAGUGUGGGUUAAUGCUUUGGAAAGGAGAUAAGUUUAUCUAGGGAAGAGAUGAAGUUGCUUAAGAAGUUUUAAGCUUUUGGAUGAGAUAUAAGUGGAUUAAUUCCCUGGUUUACCUAAGUGAUUUCAAAUUGGUCACUUUAAUCGAGCGAUAAGAAAUAAGUGUAUUCUUGUCAUGUGCUUUAGUUGUAGUGUUUCUGUUCUCCACCUCUCCUUGUGAGAGUUUGCAUUACAUGGCAUUCAUUCUUAUAUACACCUAUAUAUGGUUAUGUUUAGAAAACGAAGAAGAGAUCGAAGUGACUCAAGAGAAGACAUCACCACCUUUGAAAUCUCAGGCAGGGACUUGGCUCUACUUCGACAUCUGCGAGUCCGAGCCUGACUCGCCUAUAAACAAAGGCAAGCCCCGGUGCAUGCAACCCCUUCCUUGUGUUUUUAAAUACUUUUCGCACACUUAAGUCUAGUGAAAUGUGCAUUAGGUUUAUAGGAGUUGCUCGAAACCCUUUGAUGCAUUGCCUUCCUUGAUAUCCAUACCUUUAUAGAUACUUCUGGUGAAGUAUCAAAAUUUGAUUUACAUAAAUGCUUAGCCCUGCUUAGAUCUUGUGGAUAGAGGUUGUCUUUUGCAAUACUGCCUAGCUCAGGGGUUAUCCUGAGUAAAGAUGACUUCUACCUGCAAGAAUAUAUUUUCAUUGGGAGCAUGGUGGGAUCUUACUGCAAAGUUCCCUGUGAUGCUCUUUUCAUCCUAAGGAACAGAAACAAUCCUAAGGAUGGAAAUACUUAAAUCAAGACUUGGGCUAGGAACAGGUGAUGUUCUACCCAGGUUGAUUAAGGAUUGAAUGCGUAUGUAGGCUUGAUAGAGCAAGGACUAUCUUAGCUAGCCGCAUACCCUGGAAAUGGGACAGGGUAAGCUUUGCCUCGGGCAGACUAAGGCCAGAAUAAGAUAACACGAAAUGGGCGUGGAGCGGUGGCGGGAGUAGCGUGUACCCUCCGUGGCAAGAGGCUGGACGGUGGUGUAUCUGUGCUCUCGGUUUGCGUGAACCUGAUCUGGUCUUAAGAACCCUGGGGUCGAGUUGACAUAUGCAAGGAUUAAGUGCUACAUAUGUCGUGUGGUUAGAGAUCCUCAGCUGAGUAAAUCGAUUCGGAUCGCCGUUAUAUCCCCGGAGAGUGGAGACUUGAUCACUGCCCUACAACCUAAGUCAGGAUGUGAACUUCGUAAAUAAAAAUGAUGUUGUAUUGAUGAGAUGAUGAAAUUAGACUAGAGGCAAACAGAGUCUAUUAAUAUUUAAUCUGGCGUUAAAAUGUUGAAAGUAAGGACUCACUUUAGUAAGCUAUUUCUGCAGAAGUAUCUAAGUUGAUUCUUGCUAAAGCCUCUCCUUGAUUCCUAUUUAUCCAGCAUACCCUUGAGAGUCUUUUCUUUAGUCGGGUAAGACUUGCUGAGUAAUUCCAUACUCAGGGUUUAUCCCUUUGUUGUUUUUAGGUGAGGAAGCGACAAAUUUUUGUUGCUUUUGCUCCAAGGUGGUAUCAAAUGAAGAAAAACAAGAGUGAAGAUGCGGGAGGACGUGGUCCUCCAUAUAGGACUUUUUGUUUAAAGCUAUCGGGAGGAGUUUUUGCCUCCCUUGAUAUGUGUACUACUCAGCACUCGUUUAUAGCUCUGGUCUGUAAUAAGUAACUUGAUCUUACUUUCUAAAUAAAUGUAAGUUUAUGUAAUAGCUUCCGCAUUUCUUUAUCUCCAAUGUUCUGUAAUGUCUGCAAGACGGGUGAAACGUUCCUGGUAAGGUAAGGAAAGAUACCGAACUUGUCAAGUGACUUAGGAACAUCUACAGGGUGCCUGAUGUCUGUUAGACAAGGACAACUGUAGGUGGGCCUAAUUACUUGGGAGGUUCCGUCACAUAUUGCUUCGAAGGACGAAGAGCAUUAACCUUUAACAUUUUGUGUUGCCUUGUUCUUAAUUCAUAGCAUUUGAGAACAAGUCCCCAAAAGAAUUUGCAAAAACAAAACAAGUGGUGCAAAAGUGGUCCAAAAUAUUAAAUAGAAGAAAGAAAUCCAUUCACAUCUAGUAAGAUUAUAAAUUGGUUUAAUUCCAAGCAACCUAUGCACUUAUCUUAUGCAAACUAGUUCAUUUCUGCACUUUAUAUAUUUGCUUUGGUUUGUGUUGGCAUCAAUCACCAAAAAGGGAGAGAUUGAAAGGGAAACAGGGUUAACCUUUUCCCAGUAUUAAUUUUGGUGGUUGAAUGCCCAACACAAAUAUUGGACUAACUAGUUUGCUCUAGAUUAUAAGUUCUGCAGGUGCAUAAAGAUUCAACACAAACCAAUAAAAGAUUGAAGUUAGGGAUCAAAUUCAAAGGAGCAAAGAAACCGAGUGUGCUCUGGUCUGGCGCACCGGACUGUCCGGUGUGCCACCGGACAGUGUCUGGUGCACCAGGUCCAUACAAGAAUGAACUAGCCACUCUCUGGUUUCUCCAGGGGCGCUCCGCUAUAAUUCACCGGACUGUCCGGUGUGCCACCGGACUGUUCGGUGUAACAGCGGAGCAACAACUACUUCACGCAACGAUCGACUACAAAAGCGCGGUGAUCAGAUGAACAGUGAAGAACAGUGCACGUAGAGUCAGAGCCGCAGGUCAGAGGCGCACCGGACACUGAACAGUGCAUGUCCGGUGCGGCACCGGACUGUCCGGUGCCACUAGAGGACAAAGCCUCCAAUGGUCAAAAGCUCUAGAACCCUAACGGUUCGGUGAUGUGGCUGGCGCACCGGACUGUGUCCGGUGGCGAACGGGACUGUCCAGUGUGCCCAUCGACAGUAGCCUGCCCCAAUGGUUGUUUGGUGGUUGAGGGCUAUAAAUACCCCCUAACCACCACCACUCCAAGCAUCCAAGAUUUCUGAGUAUCACACUGAUUACAAGAGCUCUAGCAUUCACUCCUAGACACAAUUCAAAAGAUCAAAUCCUCUCCAAGUCCCCAAUUCAUCUCAAACACUUAGUGACUUGUGAGAGAGAGAUUUUGUGUUCUUUUGAGCUCUUGCCUCUUGGAUUGCCUUAUUCCUUUCUCAUUUCUUUUCUCAAGUGAUUUGUAAUCGAAGCAAGAGGCAGCUAAGUGUGUGGUGGUUCUUGCGGGGUCUAAGUGACCCGGGAGAUUAAGGAAAAGGCUCACUCGGUCUAGGUUACCGUUUGAGAGAGGGAAAGGGUUGAAAGAGACGGUCUUUGUGACCACCUCAACGGGGACUAGGUUCUUUAGAACCGAACCUCGGUAAAACAAAUUACCGUGUUCAUCCGCUUUAUUUCUUGGUUGAUUUGUUUUUCCCUCUCUACCGGACUCGAUUUAAAUUCUAACGCUAACCCCGACUUGUAGUUUGUGCUUUAAGUUGUAAAUUUCAGAUUACACCUAUUCACCCCCCCCCCUCUAGGCGACUUUCAUUACCCAUCUGCCAAGGGGUCAUGAAUCCCAUACACCUCUACCAAGGAAGAGAGGCAGGGUAAUACUACGAGGCCUUUACAAAGUUCCACUAGCUUCAGAAAACCCACUACAGUUUCUAGGAAGCUCCAAUGCAGGGAUCCCUCGCCUGACCGCCAUCGCAGCAAAAUCAACCCAAGAACCUCCCUACACUGACCACUCUCCUACUGCCCUUGCCCAUUUCGGGUAAGGUAGUCAUCCACUAGCUUUCCUAAUUAGUCAGCCAAGGGCAUCCCAUACUACCCUUGUGGUAGCACUGUUUUCCCGGGUGGUUCUCCAUGUUCCCGUUAAUAUAAUGAUCUUAUCAUGAACAUAAAUAACAUAACAUAAUAAUAGGAACAUAGAUAUAAUGAAAUAUUAACCCAAAUCCAUAUAAAGCAAUAGCAUAACUACCCAAUGAUUCAGGGGUAAAUAAGGUAAAAAGAUAAACAGAC